GCCUAGUCUUUUAGCUCAGUUGGUAGAACACUGGACUGGCAAGCCAGAGGUCCUGGGUUCAAUCCCCAGCAGAGGCA